rnacentral:rRNA from 1 species
AGAGUGAACGCUGGCGGUAGGCCUAACACAUGCAAGUCGAACGGCAGCACAGUGGUAGCAAUACCAUGGGUGGCGAGUGGCGGACGGGUGAGGAAUACAUCGGAAUCUACCUUUUCGUGGGGGAUAACGUAGGGAAACUUACGCUAAUACCGCAUACGCCCUUCGGGGGAAAGCCGGGGAUCGCAAGACCUGGCGCGGAUAGAUGAGCCGAUGUCAGAUUAGCUAGUUGGUGAGGUAAUGGCUCACCAAGGCGACGAUCCGUAGCUGGUCUGAGAGGAUGAUCAGCCACACUGGAACUGAGACACGGUCCAGACUCCUACGGGAGCAGCAGUGGGGAAUAGUUGGACAAGUGGGCGCAAGCUGAUCCAGCCAUACCGCGUGGUAGAAGAAGGCCGUUCGGUGCAACGUCCGUUUGUUAGGAAAGAAAGACAAGUACGUUAAGUACCGUU